UACAGAGGUCUCAAGCGUUUGUUCGGAUUCAUUGGGCGUAAAGGGUGCGUAGGCGGCGCGGUAAGUCGGGGUGUGAAAUCUUGGGGCUUAACUCCGAAACUGCAUUCGAUACUGCCGUGCUUUGAGGACUGGAGAGGAGACUGGAAUUUACGGUGUAGCAGUGAAAUGCGUAGAGAUCGUAAGGAAGACCAGUGGCGAAGGCGGGUCUCUGGACAGUUCCUUGACACUGAGGCACGAAGGCCAGGGGGAGCAAAACGGGG
rnacentral:rRNA from 1 species